UACGUAGGGGGCAAGCGUUGUCCGGAAUCAUUGGGCGUAAAGAGCGUGUAGGCGGCUCGGUAAGUCCGCUGUGAAAGUCCAGGGCUCAACCCUGGAAUGCCGGUGGAAACUGUCGAGCUAGAAUCCGGAAGAGGCGAGUGGAAUUCCUGGUGUAGCGGUGAAAUGCGUAGAUAUCGGGAGGAACACCUGUGGCGAAAGCGGCUCACUGGACCAUAACUGACGCUGAGGCGCGAAAGCUAGGGGAGCAAACAGG
rnacentral:rRNA from 1 species